CUCUGCAAUGUCGAUAUUUCAUUUGUAAUCCAGUAAAGCAGAGGAUGCCCGUGUUGUACUCUGCGUGCUAAACCACAGCUCCCCCCUUUAGUAAGAGCAGAGGGAACAUGACACACUCAUAAUCCCGUUAAUGGGGAGACAGAGGGGGGAGUGUCAGAGAUGAGUGUGCGAGGAAACGAUUAGUGGUGGGAGAUAGAGAGCGAUAAAGGGAGGACAGAGCCGACCACAGCUUGCUGCUCGUCAGCUGUUCUCUGCAGAGUCAAUCAGGCUGGACUCUGGUGAUUACAAGAAUUGGAAAUUGCAGUGUUUGCGGCAGGCCCGAGCAGGGCGUCGCUUUGUAUUUUCAGUGGUCAAGCAACACGGCUCUGUGUUUACCUGUGAGCUUCUUCACUGGCUGCAGCCUGACACUGAUGGUCUGGUGUGUGAGCAGCGGGGAGGAGGGCAGCGAGCGUGACACGCCCUCCAUGAUGCGAAUGUGCUGCAUGCCCUCGGUCAUGUGGAGCGGGGGCACGGCGUAGUCUCCCUCAAAGGCACAGUCGCUGUCUAUGCUGCCACCUGCAGGACGGGAGGGGAAACAGAAGAGAGUGAGAUGCUUUACUCUCGAUUGAAGAACACAGGACAGCACAGUGUGGACAAAUGAAGAAGCAUUAUGUAAAGAAAGACAGGAAAAUUGAAAUGUUAGCCGGCCUCUGAAUCUAUAACAGGAGCUCAUUUUAGUUUCAUGAGAACAAUAUUCUGCCUAAAUGAAAUGACAGAAAAUGAAAGAAAUACUUUGACACUGGAUCAAAAAACUGUUUUUAAACAGCAAUAAAAAUGUAACAAAGGA